rnacentral:rRNA from 1 species
GAUGAACGCUGGCGGCGUGCAUAAUACAUGCAAGUCGAGCGAACAGACGAGGAGCUUGCUCCUCUGACGUUAGCGGCGGACGGGUUAGUAACACGUGGAUAACCUACCUAUAAGACUGGGAUAACUUCGGGAAACCGGAGCUAAUACCGGAUGAUAUAUUGAACCAUAUGGUUCAAUAAUGAAAGACGGUCUUGCUGUCACGUAUGGAUGGUAAUGCGCUGCAUUAGCUAGUUGGUGUGGUAACGGCUUACCAAGGCAACGAUGCGUAGCCGACCGGAGAGGGGGAACGGCCACACUAGAACGGAGACGAGGUCCAGACUCCUACGGGAGGCAGCAGUAGGGGAGCUUCCGCAAUGGGCGAAGGCAUGACGGAGCAACGCCGCGUGAGGGAUGAAGGUCUUCGGAUCGUAGAACUCUGCUAUUAGGGAAGAACAAAUGUGUAAGUAACUAUGCACGUCUUGAAGGUACCUUAACAGAAAGCCACGGCUAACUACGUG